AUCCCCAUUCUCCGAGGCUUCGAGUAAAAUUUCCCCAAUACCCCUGCCUUAGGGUUGGCUUUUCACUAACAGUGAUAGAUGUGCAGGUGGUUGUAGUGAGCUUGAAAACUAGGAGACAGCAACAGGGCUGUCCGCGUCCGUGCAGCUGGCCAGGCACCCUAAGGAAGUACAGUAUUAACGAGGGCUGUGGGCGUGCUGCAUUAUGGGAGUCCGAUGCAACCGAAUAGAAUGGAAGGGCUUUGACUAGCUUGAGGCUUAUGUGAGCGGGGCUCUAGGCUUCAAGCCACCAGGAUAAUGAGAGCCUCAGCAGACACCCACUUGCAGCCACAGAAUUCCCCAGGGGUUUGGGACACUGGCAUGGCUCAAGACCGUGUCUGCCCCCUCCUUGGUGGUUCGUGGUAGAGAAGCAGCAAGUGUGCGGCUCGAACUUUCUGCUAAGGUCAUUCUGGCCAGUUUUAGCAUCUAUCCUCUAGGGGGCGCAAACUGUGAGUCCUCCUCCUGUGGUUUUGUGCCACCUGGGCAUGCUGUGGACUCAGCUUCUCGACGGUUCCUCAGAAGCCAGGUGUCAAGAGCCCACCAUCCUGCAGGACCACUGAGGCCUCACAGCUUUUCUCCCUUGUCAUCAAUCCACAGUGGACAUCUCUGAGCACAAGCUUCUUCUCCCAGUCUCUCUGCUAAUUAUACAUCAUCAGACAUCAUCAGGCACAGACUGACCCUGAAGCUCUGGGUGAUAAUAGGAUUAGAGUCAAAGGCUUCUAGCAAUACUCUGAGGGCAGCCGGUGGAAGAGGAGACUCUGCUCCUGCUUCCUGACCUGCUUGAGUUCC
rnacentral:sRNA from 1 species